CUUGCUUUAUUUAUAGCGUUUGUUGAUUUCAAACGCUAUAUUUGUUAUCUCGGGAAAAUAAAAUUUUUUAGCCGCCUUAGUUUGCUAGAGCGAAUGUAUACAAUAAGGGUUCGUAUCAUCACUCUCUCUUUGGCUCCAAAAUCAAUAUCGAAACACUCGGUUUACUCUACGACAAUCGCCGGCAGCCGCUACGAGUGGUCGAAUCAAAUGGAGGUGGGGUUAGAUUCGUUUCAGAGACAAGUCGCCGAAAGGUUUAUCGAUCUAAAUUCAGGAGAAGGAUAGUGUGAAUCCAAGCACGGCUGCUUCAAGCACAUAAGCCAUGGAAUUGGAGAAGCCAAAGGAAAAGCAGAACAAGGAAGGAAUUAGUUACAUCGUCAGCCGCGAAGCCGUGGACUCAUCAGCUCGUCUCCAGUAUCCUUCGCUCCUUACCCAGAUUAUUCUUCAAUUUUCCACUUAUAAUGUAUUGAAGGCCUCAGGAAAGAAGUGUAUUCACAGAACAACGAGGAGGUCUUGGGAAAUGGUUUGACGCCAUCUGCAGGCUGCAGCUGAUGUUGUUGUGUAUGCAGAUUUGCAUUCUUCAGUGCCAGGUCCUGGGAAGGUGAAGACAGCGAUGAUGUUGAGAAGGAGAUUUCUCGGCAAGCUUCCAAAGCCCAGUCUGUUAAAGAAGGUAUUGUAAGAAUCGAUAACAUCAGUGGAUUGCCUGAUGAACUGUUGGUGAGGAUACUAUCGUUAGUUCCAACAUUCACUGCUUGUACUUAUGGAUUUUAUCAACAAGAAUCUGCCAUUACAUAGAGCUCCUGUCAUAGAAAGCUCACGUCCUUCUUUAUGGGAGUCAAGGGUGAAAAUAUUAAACCUGAAAAUAUCAGAAUGUGGGUUGAUAUUGAUGUAUAUUGCUAUCUACGUAAGCUGGACGUUUCUUAUUCUUCGGUUAAGAAAGAAAACAUGGUUCCCAACAGCUUGUUUACUUGCAAAACGCUUGUGAUCUUGAAACCUUGAACCAAUACAUGUCUUUUCAUAUGUAUAACAUAAUUAUACUUUCA